rnacentral:ribozyme from 1 species
UUCCCAGCAACUCCUAUCCCUACCUCCACGCGGUACCGGCCGGAAACUAUGAGCAACCUUAGGGAAGA